rnacentral:rRNA from 1 species
AAUGGGCGCAAGCCUGAUCCAGCCAUGCCGCGUGAGUGAAGAAGGCCUUCGGGUUGUAAAGCUCUUUCAGACGGAAAGAAAUCGCGCGCUCUAACAUAGCGCGUGGAUGACGGUACCGUAAGAAGAAGCACCGGCUAACUACGUGCCAGCAGCCGCGGUAAUACGUAGGGUGCGAGCGUUAAUCGGAAUUACUGGGCGUAAAGCGUGCGCAGGCGGUGAUGUAAGACAGAUGUGAAAUCCCCGGGCUCAACCUGGGAACUGCGUUUGUGACUGCAUCACUCGAGUACGGCAGAGGGAGGUGGAAUUCCACGUGUAGCAGUGAAAUGCGUAGAGAUGUGGAGGAACACCGAUGGCGAAGGCAGCCUCCUGGGCCAGUACUGACGCUCAUGCACGAAAGCGUGGGGAGCAAA